GUCGCGCGUCGCGCCGGGAUUGACGACGGCGGCGACGACGGGGCGACGGAGGAAGAGGAGGAGGAGGAGGAGGAGGGAGGCAGGGCCCGCUGCGAGAGGCGGGCGCGGCCGGCGAGGCCCGGUGUCCCUGCGGUGACGUCGCCUGGCGAGCCCCUGCGGGCGCGGCGGCAGUUGACAGAAUGACAGGUAUGGAGACUGAAACUGCAAGAGAUGAAGCCAUGGAGGAAGAAAGCACUGAACAGAAAAAGGAGAGAGAGAAAAAGAAGAGGUCAAGGGUUAAACAGGUGCUCGCAGAUAUAGCGAAACAAGUGGAUUUCUGGUUUGGUGAUGUUAAUCUCCACAAAGAUAGAUUUCUCCGAGAACAAAUAGAAAAGUCCAGAGAUGGGUAUGUUGACAUAUCACUUCUCGUUUCUUUCAACAAAAUGAAAAAGUUGACUACUGAUGGAAAAUUGAUAGCUCGAGCAGUUAAAAGUUCAUCUGUUGUAGAGUUGGAUUUAGAAGGAACUAGAAUCAGAAGACGCCAACCGCUGGGUGAGGAACCAAAGGAUGUGGAUAGUCGUACAGUCUAUGUGGAGCUGCUUCCCAAAAAUGUCAAUCACAGUUGGAUUGAGCGGGUGUUUGGCAAGUGUGGUAAUGUAGUUUACAUCAGUAUACCCCGGUAUAAAACUACUGGUGAUCCAAAGGGAUUUGCUUUUGUUGAAUUUGAAACUAAAGAGCAAGCAGAGAAAGCUAUUGAGUUUUUGAAUAAUCCUCCAGAAGAAGCACCACGGAAACCUGGGAUUUUCCCCAAAACAGUAAAGAAUAAGCCUGUUCCUGCGCUGAAUACAAGUAACAGCAGUGUAGUAGAAGAGAAGAAAAAGAAGAAAAAAAAGAAAUCCAAAAUCAAGAAAGAGAGCAAUGUACAGGCAGCUGUAGAGACAAAGGAACCAAACACGAACACUACAACAGAGCAAGUACCCAAGUCAAAAAGACAUAGGACUUCAUCGGAGUGUUCAGAAAUGGAGGGAACUGAGACUCACAGGCAGCCCUCAAAGAGAGAGAAAAGAAAAUGGGACAGAACAGAAAGCUCAGAGGUACCUUGGGAAAGCAGGCCAGGGAAGAGAAGAAGAACCAGCUCUGGAGAUGGCGAGGCAUCAACUCCAAAAGUAAAGAAAAGUGUUCAAAAGGAUGAAGUUCAUCCUGUAAAAGAGGAAACAACAGAAGCUCCGAAGGAUUCCAAUGACAUCUCUGCAGAAGAUGACAAAGAUAAAAAAGACACAUCGCUUUCAAAAUCUAAAAGAAAACAUAAGAAAAAACACAAAGAAAGACAUAAAAUGGGUGAAGAAGUCAUUCCACUCAGAGUACUCUCCAAGACCGAAUGGAUGGAUUUGAAGCAGGAAUAUUUGGCCCUUCAAAAAGCCAGUAUGGCCUCCUUAAAGAAAACAAUGUCUCAAAUCAAACCUGAGCCCGUGGGAGAGAUGGAAACCGAAUCUUGUGCACAGAAAAAGCCUCAAUCUGAAAAUGACAAAUCCACGAGUGAAGAUUCUGCCCCUCCUGCCAAGGCUAACACAAUGGGGCCCCAGUUCGUGACUGGAGUAAUUGUGAAGAUCAUUAGCACUGAGCCCCUGCCGGGCAGGAAGCAGAUCAAGGAUGCUUUGGCAGUGCUGGCCGAUGUUGCUUAUGUUGACAUGCUGCAGGGAGACACAGAAUGUCAUGUCCGUUUUAAAACUCCUGAGGAUGCACAGAUUGUUGUGAAAUCAUACAAAGAAAUACAGAUGAAAAACAACUGGAAAUUCGAAGUUCUCACUGGUGAUCAUGAACAACGUUACUGGCAGAAGAUUUUAGUGGACAGACAAGCUAAACUUAACCAGCCUCGAGAAAAGAAGCGGGGUACUGAGAAGUUGAUUGCUAAAGCUGAAAGAAUGAGACUUGAAAAGACUCAACAAACAAGUAAACAUAUUCGCUUCACUGAAGAUAACUAACCAAGACUGAAUGUGAUCUUGAAAGUGAACUAGGUGUUUAACAAAAAAACAAACCCCACAAACACCACUGCUUACGGCAACUAAACCGUUUUUAAGGCGGCAUCAAAACCUGGUCUGUUUGAUUCAUAAUUCUGCAGACUGCAAGUAUGAAGAUUGUUCUGAAUCCCAUUUCUAAAUAGGCUGAAUGUUUACUGCUUCUGAGCCUUUAGAAGAAUCUUCGGGGGAAGAAAUAAGAAAACCUUUGUUUGUUAACUCUGGUAACUCUAGCUCCAGAAGUAAUUCUCACUUACAGAUAAGUGUUAAAGUUGUGUAGUUCACAUGUAAAGAUAGUGAUCUUAAUGCACUUUAAAGUAUUGUAGACAUGGCAAUAUUUUAAAAAAUAAAACAAACCUGAACAUAAAAUUGGAA